rnacentral:rRNA from 1 species
CAGGUAGGAUUACCCGCUGAACUUAAGCAUAUCAAUAAGCGGAGGAAAAGAAACUAACAAGGAUUCCCCUAGUAACUGCGAGUGAAGCGGGAAGAGCUCAAAGGUUAAAAUCUGGCGUGCCUUUGGUCG